rnacentral:lncRNA from 1 species
AUUUAGCAUCAUCCGGAAAGUCAAGCAUCGAUAUUUGGUCUACGACAAUUUGCCUACUGGUCAUCAAAGGGCUCGGUACAACGUAAGCUUUGCCUUUUUCUGGCAAUAGAUGCUGGAAUUUUUUCAAAACGCCAACUACACGUGCAAGCUUACUUUGAAGAUGUUCUUUGUGACUAUCCCAUAGCAUGAAUUCAUUAAAGUAGACUCCAAGCAUUCUGUGUUAGUAAUUUCUAUGGCAUUCCCUCCUAAGCUUGCAGAUAUUGAACAGCUGAUGGUGCGACAAGAAUCCCAGUAUCUUCCUUGCUGUACAUUUUGAAACAAUUCUUGAACAUACAAUUUCCGUCGUGAAGUGGUACAUCC